GCCCUGAUGGUCUAGAGGUAUGAUUCUCCCUUCGGGUUACAGCUCGGGCUUCUAAGAAGCCUUGAUUUGGGAGAGGUCCCCGGUUCGACUCCGGGUUAGGGCC